rnacentral:rRNA from 1 species
GAUGAACGCUGGCGGCGUGCCUAAUACAUGCAAGUCGAGCGAACAGACGAGGAGCUUGCUCCUCUGACGUUAGCGGCGGACGGGUGAGUAACACGUGGAUAACCUACCUAUAAGACUGGGAUAACUUCGGGAAACCGGAGCUAAUACCGGAUAAUAUAUUGAACCGCAUGGUUCAAUAGUGAAAGACGGUUUUGCUGUCACUUAUAGAUGGAUCCGCGCCGCAUUAGCUAGUUGGUAAGGUAACGGCUUACCAAGGCAACGAUGCGUAGCCGACCUGAGAGGGUGAUCGGCCACACUGGAACUGAGACACGGUCCAGACUCCUACGGGAGGCAGCAGUAGGGAAUCUUCCGAAAUGGGCGAAAGCUUGACGGAGCAACGCAGCGUGAGUGAUGAAGGUCUUCGGAUCGUAAAACUCUGUUAUUAGGGAAGAACAAAUGUGUAAGUAACUAUGCACGUCUUGACGGUACCUAAUCAGAAAGCCACGGCUAACUACGUG